CUGGUACUCCGAAUGCUACAGANUGAUUAAUGGAUCCUGGCUCAGGACGACCGCUGGCNGUAAGUGCCUAAUACAUGCAAGUCGAGCGAAUCAUUAGGAGCUUGCUCCUGAUGGUUAGCGGCGGACGGGUGAGUAACACGUGGGCAACCUGCCUGUAAGACUGGGAUAACACCGGGAAACCGGUGCUAAUACCGGAUAAUUCUUUUCCUCACAUGAGAGAAAGGCUGAAAGGGG
rnacentral:rRNA from 1 species